CUUGGUCAUUUGAGGAAGUAAAAGUCGUAACAAGGUCUCCGUUGGUGAACCAGCGGAGGGAUCAUUACCGAGUUAUAC
rnacentral:rRNA from 1 species